UUGUGAAUCUAGUAAUAGAAAAUUAAAUAUUCUUAUCUACCGAAAAAGUUUGCAAGAACUGCUAACUCAUGCUUCCACACUUAAAAAUGUGGCUUUUUCAACUUUUAAAGGAUAGCAGUUAUCCGUUGGUCUUAGGAACCAAAAAAUUGGUGCAACUCCAAAUAAAAGUA
rnacentral:tRNA from 1 species